UCCCUCCAGAUGUCUUGCCCGUCAGACUUAAACACUGCCCUGAGUUGUUAUAAAAGGAAGAAAAGCAAAAUUGAAAUGGAAUUACAUUAUUUUGUGACACACAAGU
rnacentral:snoRNA from 1 species